UACAGAGGUCUCAAGCGUUGUUCGGAUUCAUUGGGCGUAAAGGGUGCGUAGGCGGCGCGGUAAGUCCGCUGUAAAAGUCAAAGGCUCAACCUUUGAAUGUCAGUGGAUACUGCCGGGCUAGAGUCCGGAAGGGGCGAGUGGAAUUCCUGGUGUAGCGGUGAAAUGCGCAGAUAUCAGGAGGAACACCAAUGGCGAAGGCAGCUCGCUGGAACGGUACUGACGCUGAGGCGCGAAAGCGUGGGGAGCGAACAGG
rnacentral:rRNA from 1 species